GGCCUGGUGGUCUAGUGGUAUGAUUCCUUCUUAGGGUGGUUGUGGUCUCACAGUCACGUGACUCUCAUGGAGGAGGUCCCGGGUUCGAUCCCCGGCUAGGCCC
rnacentral:tRNA from 1 species